rnacentral:rRNA from 1 species
GCCCGCUCAGAAACUACAAAGGAAGUUGACGGGGCCCGCACAAGCGGUGGAGCAUGUGGUUUAAUUCGAUGAUACGCGAGGAACCUUACCCGGGCUUGAAAUGCAUCUGACCGGCCUUGAAAGAGGCACUCCCUUCGGGGCAGAUGUGUAGGUGCUGCAUGGUUGUCGUCAGCUCGUGCCGUGAGGUGUCGGCUUAAGUGCCAUAACGAGCGCAACCCUCAUCAUUAGUUACCAUCAGGUAAGGCUGGGGACUCUAAUGAGACUGCCAUCGUAAGAUGUGGGGAAGGUGGGGAUGACGUCAAAUCAGCACGGCCCUUACGUCCGGGGCGACACACGUGUUACAAUGGGUGGUACAAAGGGCAGCUACCUGGCGACAGGAUGCUAAUCUCGAAAACCGCUCUCAGUUCGGAUCGGAGUCUGCAACUCGACUCCGUGAAGCUGGAUUCGCUAGUAAUCGCGCAUCAGCCACGGCGCGGUGAAUACGUUCCCGGGCCUU